rnacentral:rRNA from 1 species
AACGAACGCUGGCGGCAGGCUUAACACAUGCAAGUCGAGCGCCCCGCAAGGGGAGCGGCAGACGGGUGAGUAACGCGUGGGAAUCUACCGAGCCCUGCGGAAUAGCUCCGGGAAACUGGAAUUAAUACCGCAUACGCCCUACGGGGGAAAGAUUUAUCGGGGUUUGAUGAGCCCGCGUUGGAUUAGCUAGUGGGUGGGGUAAUGGCCUACCAAGGCGACGAUCCAUAGCUGGUCUGAGAGGAUGAUCAGCCACAUUGGGACUGAGACACGGCCCAAACUCCUACGGGAGGCAGCAGUGGGGAAUAUUGGACAAUGGGCGCAAGCCUGAUCCAGCCAUGCCGCGUGAGUGAUGAAGGCCUUAGGGUUGUAAAGCUCUUUCACCGACGAAGAUAAUGACGGUAGUCGGAGAAGAAGCCCCGGCUAACUUCGUGCCAGCCGCCGCCGUAAAAC